CCGCUUAUAAUAUGCUGAGUUGGG
rnacentral:siRNA from 1 species